UACGGGGGGAGCAAGCGUUGUUCGGAUUUACUGGGCGUAAAGGGCGCGUAGGCGGUCAGCACAAGUCAGUUGUGAAAUCUCCGGGCUUAACUCGGAACGGUCAAGUGAAACUGUCAUGCUAGAGUGCAGAAGGGGCAAUCGGAAUUCUUGGUGUAGCGGUGAAAUGCGUAGAUAUCAAGAGGAACACCUGAGGUGAAGACGGGUUGCUGGGCUGACACUGACGCUGAGGCGCGAAAGCGUGGGGAGCAAACAGG
rnacentral:rRNA from 1 species